GUCUGCAACCCGACUCCAUGAAGCUGGAUUCGCUAGUAAUCGCGCAUCAGCCACGGCGCGGUGAAUACGUUCCCGGGCCUUGUACACACCGCCCGUCAAGCCAUGGAAGCCGGGAGUGCCUGAAGGCCGUGACCGCGAGGAGCGGCCUAGGGUAAAACUGGUGACUGGGGCUAAGUCGUAACAAGGUACC
rnacentral:rRNA from 1 species